rnacentral:rRNA from 1 species
GACGUAGGGCGCGAGCGUUGUCCGGAUUUAUUGGGCGUAAAGAGCUCGUAGGCGGCUUGUUGCGUCGGCUGUGAAAACCCGCAGCUCAACUGUGGGCUUGCAGCUGAUACGGGCAGGCUAGAAUUCGGUAGGGGAGACUGGAAUUCCUGGUGUAGCGGUGAAAUGCGCAGAUAUCAGGAGGAACACCGGUGGCGAAGGCGGGUCUCUGGGCCGAUAUUGACGCUGAGGUGCGAAAGCGUGGGGAGCAAACAGG